GGUUCCUGUCCAACGUUAAUCGGGGCAGGGUGAGUCGACCCCUAAGGCGAGGCCGAAAGGCGUAGUCGAUGGGAAACGGGUUAAUAUUCCCGUACUUGGUGUUACUGCGAAGGGGGGACGGAGAAGGCUAUGUUGGCCGGGCGACGGUUGUCCCGGUUUAAGCGUGUAGGUGUGUGUUCCAGGUAAAUCCGGUUCACUUUAACACUGAGGCGUGACGACGAGGCACUACGGUGCUGAAGCAACAAAUGCCCUGCUUCCAGGAAAAGCCUCUAAGCAUCAGGUAACACGAAAUCGUACCCCAAACCGACACAGGUGGUCAGGUAGAGAAUACCAAGGCGCUUGAGAGAACUCGGGUGAAGGAACUAGGCAAAAUGGUGCCGUAACUUCGGGAGAAGGCACGCUGACACGUAGGUGAAGUGAUUUACUCAUGGAGCUGAAGUCAGUCGAAGAUACCAGCUGGCUGCAACUGUUUAUUAAAAACACAGCACUGUGCAAACACGAAAGUGGACGUAUACGGUGUGACGCCUGCCCGGUGCCGGAAGGUUAAUUGAUGGGGUCAGCGCAAGCGAAGCUCCUGAUCGAAGCCCCGGUAAACGGCGGCCGUAACUAUAACGGUCCUAAGGUAGCGAAAUUCCUUGUCGGGUAAGUUCCGACCUGCACGAAUGGCGUAAUGAUGGCCAGGCUGUCUCCACCCGAGACUCAGUGAAAUUGAACUCGCUGUGAAGAUGCAGUGUACCCGCGGCAAGACGGAAAGACCCCGUGAACCUUUACUAUAGCUUGACACUGAACAUUGAGCCUUGAUGUGUAGGAUAGGUGGGAGGCUUUGAAGUGUGGACGCCAGUCUGCAUGGAGCCGACCUUGAAAUACCACCCUUUAAUGUUUGAUGUUCUAACGUGGACCCGUAAUCCGGGUUGCGGACAGUGUCUGGUGGGUAGUUUGACUGGGGCGGUCUCCUCCUAAAGAGUAACGGAGGAGCACGAAGGUUGGCUAAUCCUGGUCGGACAUCAGGAGGUUAGUGCAAUGGCAUAAGCCAGCUUGACUGCGAGCGUGACGGCGCGAGCAGGUGCGAAAGCAGGUCAUAGUGAUCCGGUGGUUCUGAAUGGAAGGGCCAUCGCUCAACGGAUAAAAGGUACUCCGGGGAUAACAGGCUGAUACCGCCCAAGAGUUCAUAUCGACGGCGGUGUUUGGCACCUCGAUGUCGGCUCAUCACAUCCUGGGGCUGAAGUAGGUCCCAAGGGUAUGGCUGUUCGCCAUUUAAAGUGGUACGCGAGCUGGGUUUAGAACGUCGUGAGACAGUUCGGUCCCUAUCUGCCGUGGGCGCUGGAGAACUGAGGGGGGCUGCUCCUAGUACGAGAGGACCGGAGUGGACGCAUCACUGGUGUUCGGGUUGUCAUGCCAAUGGCACUGCCCGGUAGCUAAAUGCGGAAGAGAUAAGUGCUGAAAGCAUCUAAGCACGAAACUUGCCCCGAGAUGAGUUCUCCCUGAGACUUAGAGUCUCCUGAAGGAACGUUGAAGACGACGACGUUGAUAGGCCGGGUGUGUAAGCGCAGCGAUGCGUUGAGCUAACCGGUACUAAUGAACCGUGAGGCUUAACCUUACAACGCCGAAG
rnacentral:rRNA from 1 species